UUAGUCGGGUCCUUAGGAGAACCCGAAGGGGGAAUCUGAUGGCAAAUUGAUUAAUAUUUCAAUACCUGCUUUAAUUUCGAUGGGGCGACGAAGGAGUGAAAGGUUCGCGAGUCAACUUAUUGAUUCGUUAAAGCGUGUAGUUAUAUCCUGUGCAGGCAAAUCCGCAUGGGAUGGCGAACGUGAUAGUACUGUGAGUCUUCGGACAAAUAGAUAGUGACCCUAAUCAGACUUCCAAGAAAAACCUCUAAGUUAUGAUUAAAGCAGCCCGUACCGUAAACCGACACAGGUGGACGAGAUGAGUAUUCUAAGGCGCUCGGGUGAGCCGUGGAGAAGGAACUAGGCAAAUUAACGCUGUAACUUCGGAAUAAAGCGUACCAUCGCAAGAUGGUCUCAGUAAAUUGGUUCAACCAACUGUUUAACAAAAACAUAGGGCUCUGCAAAAUCGUAAGAUGAAGUAUAGGGCCUGAUACCUGCCCGGUGCUGGAAGGUUAAGGAAGGGGGUUCGGCGCAAGCCAAAGCUCUUGACUGAAGCCCCAGUAAACGGCGGCCGUAACAAUAACGGUCCUAAGGUAGCGAAAUUCCUUGUCGGGUAAGUUCCGACCUGCACGAAUGGUCUAAUGAGUUGAACACUGUCUCCUCCACGAGCCCGGUGAAAUUGUAGUAUCGGUGAAGAUGCCGGUUACCCGCCACGGGACGGAAAGACCCCGUGAACCUUCACUACAACUUUGCAUUGAUUUUGAGUAACAAUUAUUUAGAAUAGUUGGGAGACUUUGAAGUGGGGACGCUAGUUUCCAUGGAGUCACCGUUGAAAUACCAACUUUUUGUUCCUUAGAGUCUAAUCCUCAAAAAUGGAAACAGUGCAUGGUGGGUAGUUUGACUGGGGUGGUCGCCUCCUAAAAAGUAACGGAGGCUUGCAAAGGUUCCCUCAGUACGGUUGGUAAUCGUACGAAGAGCGUAUUAGUAUAAGGGAGCUUGACUGUGAGACCGACAAGUCGAGCAGGGUCGAAAGACGGCUAAAGUGAUCCGGUGGUUCUGAAUGGAAGGGCCAUCGCUCAAAGGAUAAAAGGUACUCCGGGGAUAACAGGCUGAUCUCCCCCAAGAGCUCAUAUCGACGGGGAGGUUUGGCACCUCGAUGUCGGUUCGUCACAUCCUGGGGCUGGAGAAGGUCCCAAGGGUUCGGCUGUUCGCCGAUUAAAGUGGCACGUGAACUGGGUUCAGAACGUCGCAAGACAGUUCGGUCCCUAUCUGUGGUGGGCGCAAGGAAAUUGAGAAGACAUGACCUUAGUACGAGAGGACCGGGUCGUACAUACCUCUGGUGUAUCAGUUGUAUCUAAAGGUGCAAUGCUGAGUAGCUAUGUAUGGAAAGGAUAAACGCUGAAAGCAUCUAAGCGUGAAACCUGCUUCAAGAUGAGUUUCCUCUUAAGGGCCGUCAAAGACGAUGACGUUGAUAGGCUAUAGGUGUAAAGGUAGUAAUAUCAAAGCCGAGUAG
rnacentral:rRNA from 1 species